GAUGAACGCUGGCGGCGUGCCUAAUACAUGCAAGUCGAGCGAAUGGAUUAAGAGCUUGCUCUUAUGAAGUUAGCGGCGGACGGGUGAGUAACACGUGGGUAACCUGCCCAUAAGACUGGGAUAACUCCGGGAAACCGGGGCUAAUACCGGAUAACAUUUUGAACCGCAUGGUUCGAAAUUGAAAGGCGGCUUCGGCUGUCACUUAUGGAUGGACCCGCGUCGGCUUAGCUAGUUGGUGAGGUAACGGCUCACCAAGGCAACGAUGCGUAGCCGACCUGAGAGGGUGAUCGGCCACACUGGGACUGAGACACGGCCCAGACUCCUACGGGAGGCAGCAGUAGGGAAUCUUCCGCAAUGGACGAAAGUCUGACGGAGCAACGCCGCGUGAGUGAUGAAGGCUUUCGGGUCGUAAAACUCUGUUGUCAGGGAAGAACAAGUGCUAGUUGAAUAAGCUGGCACCUUGACGGUACCUAACCAGAAAGCCACGGCUAACUACGUGCCAGCCGCCGCGGUAA
rnacentral:rRNA from 1 species